rnacentral:sRNA from 1 species
GAAGCUCCAACGACCGUCCAGUACGAGAC